rnacentral:rRNA from 1 species
AUAGCUCAACUAUUAGGCUUCGGGGGAUACUGCCAGACUGGAACCGGGAGAGGUAAGAGGUACUACAGGGGUAGGAGUGAAAUCUUGUAAGUCCCUGUGGGACCACCUGUGGCGAAGGCGUCUUACCAGAACGGGUUCGACGGUGAGGGACGAAAGCUGGGGGCACGAACCGGAUUAGAUACCCGGGUAGUCCCAGCCGUAAACGAUGCUCGCUAGGUGUCAGGCAUGGCGCGACCGUGUCUGGUGCCGCAGGGAAGCCGUGAAGCGAGCCACCUGGGAAGUACGGCCGCAAGGCUGAAACUUAAAGGAAUUGGCGGGGGAGCACAACAACGGGUGGGAAGCCUGCGGUUUAAUUGGACUCAACGCCGGACAACUCACCGGGGGCGACAGCAAUAUGUAGGCCAAGCUGAAGACUUUGCCUGAAUCGCUGAGUGGUGGUGCAUGG